rnacentral:antisense_RNA from 1 species
CUUGAUCGACCCCAGCCACAGCGGACUGUCGGCGUCCCGGCCCUGGCCGUAGGUGGCGAGGAUCGCCUGUGCCUC